rnacentral:rRNA from 1 species
UACGGGGGGGGUAAGCGUUGUUCGGAAUUACUGGGCGUAAAGGGCUCGUAGGCGGCCAACUAAGUCGGACGUGAAAUCCCUCAGCUUAACCGGGGAACUGCGUCCGAUACUGGAUGGCUUGGAUUCGGGAGAGGAAUGCGGAAUUCCAGGUGUAGCGGUGAAAUGCGUAGAUAUCAGGAGGAACACCGGUGGCGAAGGCGGUUCUCUGGGCCGAUACUGACGCUGAGGAGCGAAAGCGUGGGGAGCGAACAGG